GAUGAACGCUGGCGGCGUGCCUAACACAUUCAAGUCGAACGGAGUUAUGGAGAAGCUUGCUUUGAAAUAACUUAGUGGCGGACGGGUGAGUAAUGCAUGAGCAACCUGCCUUAAAGAGGGGGAUAACACAGAGAAAUUUGUGCUAAUACCGCAUGUGCUAUUCUGGUGGCAUCAUCGGAAUAGGAAAGGAGCAAUCCGCUUUAAGAUGGGCUCAUGUCUGAUUAGAUAGUAGGUGAGGUAACGGCUCACCAAGUCUACGAUCAGUAGCCGGACUGAGAGGUUGAACGGCCACAUUGGAACUGAGAUACGGUCCAGACUCCUACGGGAGGCAGCAGUGGGGAAUAUUGGGCAAUGGGCGCAAGCCUGACCCAGCAACGCCGCGUGAAGGAAGAAGGUCUUCGGAUUGUAAACUUCUUUUAUAAAGGAAGAACUAUGACUGUACUUUAUGAAUAAGCCACGGCUAACUACGUGCCAGCAGCCGCGGUAACAC
rnacentral:rRNA from 1 species